AGAGUGGGGAGUGCAGACGGCAUGGUGAGCUGGGUGAAACGACAGUGCAGCAAGCGAUAAGUCUGAACCUUGUGGUGGGGUUCACUCCCUCAGUGGAGGGAGGGCGAAAUUCGUUAUUGUAUCCUGUGUUGUUUUCUCAUUUGUGGCAUUUGUGGGCGCUUCCUUGUUUUGGGAAGUUGUUUUUGGUAGACCCUCCCUGAGGGUACCUUAGGUUUUUUUCUCCGUAUUGUAAAUAAAACGCGUAUGACCUGUAAAAGCUGUCUCCUGGCUUCCUUCAACCUGGAAUGAUUCUAUUAUUGUCACUAACCUCCUCAUCCCCUGGACUUUCCACUGGAGCUUGGGAGAUCACCACCAUAGCUUGUUCCUGCUUCACAUGGCUUCCCUGCUGUGAAAUUCCCACAUUCUCCUUCAUACAGGCAAAUGAGGCUGAAGCGCCAAAUAUGCUAGCAGAAGUCCAUCUGUCUAAAUCUUUUGAUACUGUUAGGGAGAACAUAAACAGCAGCAAUGAGAUGAUAAAAUGGUUCGAGCAUCAUGCAUCAUUGAUGUAAAGUCCACCUCCUCUCAUCUUGCCGGAGUCUUGCGCUGACAGCUUGAACACGGACCGCCCGCCGAGUGCUUGAUCGGGGUUGUGGAUGAGGCAGGUCUCUGUGUA